UACGUAGGGGGCUAGCGUUGUCCGGAUUUAUUGGGCGUAAAGGGUGCGUAGGCGGUUUGGUAAGUCUGAUGUGAAAUCUAUGGGCUCAACUCAUAGUCUGCAUCGGAAACUGCCGGGCUUGAGUAUGGGAGAGGUGAGUGGAAUUCCUGGUGUAGCGGUGGAAUGCGUAGAUAUCAGGAGGAACACCUGUGGCGAAAGCGGCUCACUGGACCAUAACUGACGCUGAUGCACGAAAGCUAGGGGAGCAAACAGG
rnacentral:rRNA from 1 species